rnacentral:rRNA from 1 species
CCUACGGGUGGCAGCAGUGGGGAAUAUUGCACAAUGGGGGAAACCCUGAUGCAGCGACGCCGCGUGAGUGAAGAAGCGUCUCGGCGCGUAAAGCUCUGUUAGCGGGGAAGAAACACGGUUCGCGAGAGCCGCGGACGGUACCCGACCAAGAAGCCCCGGCUAACUACGGGCCAGCAGCCGCGGUAAUACGGAGGGGGCAAGCGUUAUCCGGGUUCAAUGGGUGUAAAGGGGGCGUAGACGGCGAGACAAGGCUGGAGUGAAAGGCCGGGGCCCAACCCCGGGACUGCUCUGGAAACUGGCUGGCUGGAGUACAGGAGAGGUAAGUGGAAUUCCUGGUGUAGCGGUGAAAUGCGUAGAUAUUAGGAGGAACGCCAGUGGCGAAGGCAGCUUACUGGACUGUAACUGACAUUGAGGCUCGAAAGCGUGGGGAGCGAACAGGAUUAGAUACCCCGGUAGUC